CUAUGUAUGCAAAACAACUUGCAAAAUAUCCUUCCGGAUAUUAUCCUUAGUCACCGAGAAAACCUAAAGUUAACGAGACAGAAUAUUUCAGUUCAUCUAGCACAAAUAAUUAGGUAUUUAAAGUGAAAUGAGGACAUUUAGACCCGUAGACAAAAUAGUUAGGGUUUCGUAGACCAAAUGUAAAACCAAACUCAAAAGAAUUAUAAAAUUUUCUAACGUAAACACUUGAACCAAAGACAAGUCAGAAUCCAACUAGAUAGACUAAGAAAUACUGUUUUCGGAAUCGUUUAUAUGGUUCAAAAUCAUUUCAUAUUCAAAUAGAUAUUAUAGACUUCAUGAAAAAGAGAGAAGAUAAAAAUACCCAAAAAAACUCUAAACCAUUCCUCUUUAUUUGGUAAGAGUAAGUAAACAUUUGGAGUUUUUAAUUUAAGAAAGAUCAUGUUUUAAGAUGAAAAACGGUUAUAGUAUUUGCCAAACAAAAAUAUACAAGUUCAAAUAGAUACUUAGCCCUCGAGCGAAAAUUUGGGCAACACGCCCUUUGUAUUUUCCUAUUUCCAGCCAUUUAUGGUUUCAUUCUUUUUCUCAAUCAAACCAUGGUUACCCACAACACAAAUUCAUUUCAAUAGCCGUUCCAUAGGCUCAAAACAAUACAAGUAUAGAAAUCGAGCUAAUAACAAAUGCGGAAAUGAAACUUAACAAAAGACAGAUUUGACGGGUUUUCCGUAACGGACACAUCCGACGCUACGCUUAUCGGAUUGGAAUGUAAUUUAUACCGUUUCGAAGCUAAGACAGAGGGUUACAAUUUUGAUAAAGACCACUCAGUCAAGUUCUCACCCUAACUAGGUCAAAUAUACCAAAACAACUCCAGAUUUUCCAGGUCAAAGUGUACUACGGCAGUCCUGACUUAUUCAGUCAUAUCUCAACACCUACAACUCCAAUUCAAGUGAUUCCAAAGCCAUUUGAAAGAUAAGAUACAAGUCUAUAAGUCUUAAGAAGACAUUGACAGCCAAAUCAGUAGUAUUCCUGGUCAAAACAACCAAUUACAGAAGCUGAGUAGUAUGUUCGGAUAGAAACAGGGCAGCAAGGGUAUUUUAGUCUUUUCACAGGCUACGUUGCUCCGAUUGAGCUGAAAUUUUGUAGGCUAUUAUAAAAUAUCAUUAUCUACAACGUUCAUGUUUUGUGCUAAGGCCAAUUCGACCUCUAACUAUGGGUAACAGAACCGGGCAGAACCAAGCAGUCAUAAGUUUCAUUUCUGGAAUUUUAAGAAAUCCAUGCACUCCAAUGCUAAUCUUCUUAUUUUUGGCUUGAUUCACCACCUCAACCUCCUAGACAAGCUUGUAUACACUAUAUACCAUCCACACAAAAAGAAACAUGACUGAACAACACAAAACCCUACCUUACUAAUUCACCCAAAAUCAUCACAACUACUUGUAUAGUUACCAAUUUAAUCAAAACUUGAGUUGUAUAGUAACUUGAGCAAGAAUAAAAGCACCAAAGAUAAGGGAUAGCCAAUACCUCAAUAAAGAUGGUAGCGUAGAGUUUUCCUCUCCAAAAUCACUCCACCAAAGCCUUUAAAUCUCCUUAGUGAGCAAGUUUUAUGGAGUAGUUGGUACAAACUUUGAUUGGAACUCAAGAUUCAAGCACAAGCUGAAGUUGGAGUUGAAGGUUUCUCUCUUGUUUUUUCCCUCCCCUAAAAUUUCGGCC
rnacentral:lncRNA from 1 species